AUUGAACGCUGGCGGCAUGCUUUACACAUGCAAGUCGAACGGUAACAGGCCGCAAGGUGCUGACGAGUGGCGAACGGGUGAGUAAUGCAUCGGAACGUGCCCAGUCGUGGGGGAUAACGCAGCGAAAGCUGCGCUAAUACCGCAUACGAUCUAUGGAUGAAAGCGGGGGACCGUAAGGCCUCGCCCGAUUGGAGCGGCCGAUGUCAGAUUAGGUAGUUGGUGGGGUAAAGGCUCACCAAGCCGACGAUCUGUAGCUGGUCUGAGAGGACGACCAGCCACACUGGGACUGAGACACGGCCCAGACUCCUACGGGAGGCAGCAGUGGGGAAUUUUGGACAAUGGGCGCAAGCCUGAUCCAGCAAUGCCGCGUGCAGGAAGAAGGCCUUCGGGUUGUAAACUGCUUUUGUACGGAACGAAAAGGCUCUGGUUAAUACCUGGGGCUCAUGACGGUACCGUAAGAAUAAGCACCGGCUAACUACGUGCCAGCCGCCGCCGUAAGAC
rnacentral:rRNA from 1 species